AUUGAACGCUGGCGGCAGGCCUAACACAUGCAAGUCGAACGCGUGGCGGACGGGUGAGUAAUGUCUGGGAAACUGCCUGAUGGAGGGGGAUAACUACUGGAAACGGUAGCUAAUACCGCAUACCAUCAGAUGUGCCCAGAUGGGAUUAGCGAGUGGGUGGUGUAACGGCUAACCAAGGCGACGAUCCCUAGCUGGUCUGAGAGGAUGACCAGCCACACUGGAACUGAAAAACGUUCCAGACUCCUACGGGAGGCAGCAGUGGGGAAUAUUGCACAAUGGGCGCAAGCCUAAUGCAGCCAUGCCGCGUGUAUGAAGAAGGCCUUCGGGUUGUAAAGUACUUUAAGUUGGGAGGCGUUACCAACAGAAUAAGCACCGGCUAACUUCGUGCCAGCAGCCGCGGUAAUAC
rnacentral:rRNA from 1 species